rnacentral:rRNA from 1 species
GUAGUAGCAAAUACUCUAGCGAGACCCUUGAGGACUGAGGCGGAGAAGGGUUUCGUGUGAACAGCCGUUGCACACGAGUCAGUCGAUCCUAAGCCCUAGGGGAAACCCGAUGUAUGCUGGCCUCAGGCCGCAUCGGGCGAAAGGGAAUCCGGUCCCCAUUCCGGAACCCGGUCGCGGAACCGUCUCACGUCGGGCCCGGCGCCUUUUGGCGACAGCUCGUCGGGGUAACCCAACAUAACCCGGAGAAGCCGUCGGGAGGUCGGGGAAGAGUUUUCUUUUCUGUUUGAGCGUUCGGGUUCCCUGGAAUUGCCUAGCGCAGAGAGAGGGAAUGGAGCGCGUAGAGCACCGCAGUUGCGGCGGUGUCCCGACAUGCCCUUCGGACCUUGAAAAUCCGGGGACGGGCCACGUGGAGGUCUCGCGCCGGCUCGUACCCAUAUCCGCAGCAGGUCUCCAAGGUGAAGAGCCUCUAGCCGAUAGAAGAAUGUAGGUAAGGGAAGUCGGCAACUUGGAUCCGUAACUUCGGAAUAAGGAU